rfam:Schistosoma rodhaini strain Burundi genome assembly, scaffold: SROB_scaffold0001685
AUGCAGCUGACGAGUCCCAAAUAGGACGAAACGCGCGUCCUGGAU